AACGAACGCUGGCGGCAUGCCUAACACAUGCAAGUCGAACGAGACCUUCGGGUCUAGUGGCGCACGGGUGCGUAACGCGUGGGAACCUGCCCUUAGGUUCGGAAUAACUCCCCGAAAGGGGUGCUAAUACCGGAUAAUGUCUUCGGACCAAAGAUUUAUCGCCUUUGGAUGGGCCCGCGUUGGAUUAGCUAGUUGGUAGGGUAAAAGCCUACCAAGGCGACGAUCCAUAGCUGGUCUGAGAGGAUGAUCAGCCACACUGGGACUGAGACACGGCCCAGACUCAUACGGGAGGCAGCAGUGGAGAAUGUUAGACAAUGGGCGAAAGCCUGAACCAGCAAUGCCGCGUGAGUGAUGAAGGCCUUAGGGUUGUAAAGCUCUUUUAACCGGGAUGAUAAUGACAGUACCGGAAGAAUAAGCUCCGGCUAACUCCGUG
rnacentral:rRNA from 1 species